rnacentral:tRNA from 1 species
CAGGGAGACAACAAAAUGUUUAAUAUUAUUAUUUUGUCACCUUAGGUCGAUCGGUAUCUCACGUUCUUAAUUUUAUUAAGAAUUUCAUUUCCUAAGUUUUUCUAGGUCACACCCAUUAUUUUCCUGGGCCAUUAGCUCAGGUGGUUAGAGCGCACCCCUGAUAAGGGUGAGGUCCCUGGUUCAAGUCCAGGAUGGCCCAUAUCUCUAUGUUGGGGGUAUAGCUCAGUUGGUAGAGCGCCUGCUUUGCAAGCAGGAUGUCAGCGGUUCGAGUCCGCUUACCUCCACUGAUUACCACCUCUUCCAUAAUAUUUAGAAAGGAAAAUUUUGAGUUGUGACACAAUUCUGAACGAAUCUAGCUUCCUAAUCAAAGCAUUAAGAUGCUGGACUCAUUGAAUUAAUUUCAUUGUUUUCAGAGAACCUUGACAACUGCAUAGAUUAUUUUUAGAGACAAUAAGCAUCUUUAAUGAUGCAGAUUUAUUAUUUGUGCGAAUGCAUUAAUAACAAUUCUAUUAAGCUGAUGCUUCAAUUAUGAAGUUAUU